rnacentral:rRNA from 1 species
AUUGAACGCUGGCGGCAGGCCUAACACAUGCAAGUCGAGCGGCAGCGGGAAAGUAGCUUGCUACUUUUGCCGGCGAGCGGCGGACGGGUGAGUAAUGCCUGGGAAAUUGCCCAGUCGAGGGGGAUAACAGUUGGAAACGACUGCUAAUACCGCAUACGCCCUACGGGGGAAAGCAGGGGACCUUCGGGCCUUGCGCGAUUGGAUAUGCCCAGGUGGGAUUAGCUAGUUGGUGAGGUGAUGGCUCACCAAGGCGACGAUCCCUAGCUGGUCUGAGAGGAUGAUCAGCCAAACUGGAACUGAGACACGGUCCAGACUCCUACGGGAGGCAGCAGUGGGGAAUAUUGCACAAUGGGGGAAACCCUGAUGCAGCCAUGCCGCGUGUGUGAAGAAGGCCUUCGGGUUGUAAAGCACUUUCAGCGAGGAGGAAAGGUUGUUGGCUAAUAUCCAACAGCUGUGACGUUACUCGCAGAAGAAGCACCGGCUAACUCCGUGCCAGCCGCCGCCGUAACAC